AGAUAAUUGCAUAGUUUCCUACUUUUUAUCUGUUUACGUAUGAACAAGUAAAACUAUCUCUUUGUAGAUGUAUCUUUUAUAUAAAAAUUCCUACAGAUUCUAUGGAAAACUAUUAGGACUAAUAUUUGUACAGUGACUGGCUGGACUACUUUAGUGAAUUCUAUUUACUCUGCAGUGGAAGCUUCUGAUGUUGCUGUUCAAAAUGUGCAGCCUUAGGGUGUGCACGGUCACCCUGGGGUGGCAGUGGUUUCAGCAAGGUUCUCUUUGCCUCUCUCUUUCCCUGAUUGUGCCCAGCUGUUAAGCUCCACUAAAUUCUGGAUGAUUGUGCUUUUGUUUUUGGCAAUACCUGGAGAAUCCAUUGCUAGACAGACUGAUCCAAUUAAAUUUGGGCUCCUUUGAGGAGGUAGUUUUUGAGGUCAAUGUUUGAGGUUUGUUCUGACCCUAACAGGGCUCUUCUUAGGGCUCUUUUCCUGCUUCUUACUGGUAAACUAAUUGGCUUAUGGUUUAGCUUGUACCUUUCAUGAAGAUACCAGUCUCUUCUUAAUUGGUUAGUACCAACAUCACCACUGCUUUUGAGAACACUUUUAGGCUUUAACUUUCUCGUACUCUGUUCCAAAAAGGUCGGUUGAUUUGAGGAGGUUUUUAGAGUUUUCAUUUUUAUGGCUGCUGCUCCUUCUAGGCAAAAUUUCUGAGCCCUGGCUCUGGGUCUGGGGGCAGGGACAGCUGCUCACUUCUCUCACAGUCCUGCAUUAAGAGCAUGGUUCUGGGUGAGUAGGGUAGCCUCUAUAUUCUUGGAUUGCCUCUCCAAGGAAUUGGUCCCUCACCCUACAAAUGAGUGGGAUGUUGGUUUAAGAAGGAAUCCCCUCUCGGUUGCACUCAUUUGGAAUUCAGUCUCUUUAACAUAUAUGUGGAUGCCAUGAAAAAUGCUAGUGGCCUGUCCUUCCUGGGAAGAUACUUGUCUUAGUUCAUUUAGGCUGCUAUACAAAAUACCACAGUCUGAGGAGCUUGUAAAUAACAGAAAAUUAUUUCUCACAGUAAUGGAGGCUGGAAGUCAAGACCAGGGUUCCCGAAUGAUCAGGUAGAAUGCCAGCAGAUGUGAAAUGAACAGUGCUACAGCCUUCCAGCAGUCCUAGCACAAGGAAUAGAUAAGCCACUGAGUAUCAGGGUUGUUUGUUAUGCAGCAUUGUUGCAGCAACAGCUGAUGAAUACACUUGACCUAAGGUUUGUAGGAAAAUGACCAAGAGGUCUUUAAAUGUGCUUGCAUGGUUUGUCUUUGUCUUUUGUAUUCCUCUCAUCUCCCAUGAGAUGUCCUAUAGCCACUCAUCCCAGGAGAAUGCAGACACAAGUGGAGCAGAUCUGAAUCCAACUUGCAGCCUGGAAAAGUCCACCCAAUCUCAACUCAGCCCGGCAGAGAUGCAAACUACCAGCAGAACUGUACACAGGAAAUUAAUGUUUGUUUCAAGCUGAUGAGUGUUGGAACUGCCUAGCAUUCACCCUUAUUUCAACCAUAGCUGGUUGAUGGAAAUGACACAGUGCAGAAGGUAAAAUUGAUGAGGAAGAUGAAAAAAAGAGUAAGAUUGCAGAGGUGAAUAUGAGAGGGAAUUGGGUCCACGGCACCAGUUGGCCUCAGCUAAAAGCACUGAGAAUUCACUCAUCUGGACAGGUUGGAAGUUGGCACACAUGAGUACAGAGAUAGAUAUGUUGGUGAAUGAGG
rnacentral:lncRNA from 1 species